rnacentral:rRNA from 1 species
UACGUAGGUCCCGAGCGUUGUCCGGGUUUAUUGGGCGUAAAGCGAGCGCAGGUGGUUUAUUAAGUCUGGUGUAAAAGGCAGUGGCUCAACCAUUGUAUGCAUUGGAAACUGGUAGACUUGAGUGCAGGAGAGGAGAGUGGAAUUCCAUGUGUAGCGGUGAGAUGCGUAGAUAUAUGGAGGAACACCGGUGGCGAAAGCGGCUCUCUGGCCUGUAACUGACACUGAGGCUCGAAAGCGUGGGGAGCAAACAGG